AAAGCUCAAAUUUAAAAUCUGGCAGGUUUACUCCUGUCCGAGUUGUAAUCUAGAGAAGUGCUUUCCGCGCUGGACCGUGUACAAGUCUCUUGGAACAGAGCGUCAUAGAGGGUGAGAAUCCCGUCUUUGACACGGACUACCAGUGCUUCUGUGAUGCGCUCUCGACGAGUCGAGUUGUUUGGGAAUGCAGCUCAAAAUGGGUGGUAAAUUCCAUCUAAAGCUAAAUAUUGGGGAGAGACCGAUAGCGAA
rnacentral:rRNA from 1 species